GGAGAUGUAGCUCAGUGGUAAAGCAUUUGCCUAGGAUGCAUGAGGCCCUGGGUUCAAUCCCCAGUACUAUUA
rnacentral:tRNA from 1 species